AGAGUUUGAUCCUGGCUCAGGAUGAACGCUGGCGGCGUGCCUAAUACAUGCAAGUCGAACGCGUUGGCCCAACUGAUUGAACGUGCUUGCACGGACUUGACGUUGGUUUACCAACGAGUGGCGGACGGGUGAGUAACACGUAGGUAACCUGCCCCAAAGCGGGGGAUAACAUUUGGAAACAGAUGCUAAUACCGCAUAACAGUUUGAAUCGCAUGAUUCAAGCUUAAAAGAUGGUUUCGGCUAUCACUUUGGGAUGGACCUGCGGCGCAUUAGCUUGUUGGUAGGGUAACGGCCUACCAAGGCUGUGAUGCGUAGCCGAGUUGAGAGACUGAUCGGCCACAAUGGAACUGAGACACGGUCCAUACUCCUACGGGAGGCAGCAGUAGGGAAUCUUCCACAAUGGGCGCAAGCCUGAUGGAGCAACACCGCGUGAGUGAAGAAGGGUUUCGGCUCGUAAAGCUCUGUUGUUAGAGAAGAACGUGCGUGAGAGCAACUGUUCACGCAGUGACGGUAUCUAACCAGAAAGUCACGGCUAACUACGUGCCAGCAGCCGCGGUAAUACGUAGGUGGCAAGCGUUAUCCGGAUUUAUUGGGCGUAAAGCGAGCGCAGGCGGUUUGAUAAGUCUGAUGUGAAAGCCUUUGGCUUAACCAAAGAAGUGCAUCGGAAACUGUCAGACUUGAGUGCAGAAGAGGGCAGUGGAACUCCAUGUGUAGCGGUGGAAUGCGUAGAUAUAUGGAAGAACACCAGUGGCGAAGGCGGCUGCCUGGUCUGUAACUGACGCUGAGGCUCGAAAGCAUGGGUAGCGAACAGGAUUAGAUACCCUGGUAGUCCACGCCGU
rnacentral:rRNA from 1 species